rnacentral:tRNA from 1 species
CUCCCUCGUGGCGCAAUUGGCUAGCGCGUUCGACUGUUAAUCGAGAGGUUGGUGGUUCGAGCCCACCCGAGGGAG